UACGUAGGGUGCAAGCGUUGUCCGGAAUUAUUGGGCGUAAAGAGCUCGUAGGCGGUUUGUUGCGUCGGCUGUGAAAUCCCGAGGCUCAACCUCGGGUCUGCAGUCGAUACGAGCAAACUAGAGUGUUGCAGGGGAGACUGGAAUUCCUGGUGUAGCGGUGAAAUGCGCAGAUAUCAGGAGGAACACCGGUGGCGAAGGCGGGGCUCUGGGCUGACACUGACGCUCAUGCACGAAAGCGUGGGGAGCAAACAGG
rnacentral:rRNA from 1 species